ensembl:lncRNA
CACAAUCACAGUGUGUAAUACACAAACUUUAUCAAACACGAGUUUGGUUAACACAAACCUGACAUUAUUUAUCUUUUCUUUUUUCUUCCUUUUUUUUAUUUUAUUUUUUUACUUUUUUGUUGAACCUACAUGUUUUACUUCUGCAUUUAAUUUAAACACAUCUAUCUUAGUUAGGGAUUAAACAGAUGAAAAUUCUCACCGUCCAUCAGAGUAAAAUGAUCCUUAACAGGCUCUGGGUCAAACAGCAAGUCUAGAGGUGCGCUCAGAGCUCUUCCAAUCAGAACCGAGACCAGAAACAACCUUAUGAAAGUGUUGCUUUUGAGCAGCAUGAUGGCCCAGGAACUUCAGUGUGAUGAAGAUGGUCCUCACUGCAAACCUGACUGUGAUGAUUAUACAGUAGACCUGGGACAUACAGUCUUUAAUAGGGAGGUUUGAUUAAAACUCCUUACGUCCACUUUGAAAUGAACCCGUGAGUAAAACAUUUUUGGCUGCAAGGACAUGAAGAGACAGCCGCACUUUCCUGACAGUGUUUUGACCUAUGUGAAGGAGGCUGUAGAGGACCUGAGAGGAGCAGGAGUGUAGCCAUCAUUUCAGAUAACUGUGCACAGCCUAUCAAAAACAGCGUACGCAAAUGUGUUUGACUUGCCGAAUUACUGGAGAACGCAGUUUGAGGAACAUCAUCCAGCUCCUCCGGGGGGAUCCACACACCCUUUCCUUCUGGCACCAGUGAAUACUGGGUUGACGACGCCUUCCAGUCCGUUGUGAUGGUGUUAUUUAUUCAUAUUUAAGUUGCCUUGUUUUAACACAAAGAAGCAACUCUACUCUCCGCUUCUCCAAGAUGGCCGAACUCCUUACAUUAUAAUGGAGAGUGGCUCCGGCCAGUCAGUGUUAGAUCAGCUGUUUAGCAGAAACUUGACUUGAAACAGUAGUUUCAGUUGACUGGACAUGAUUUGGAAAGGCACACACCUGUCUGUAUAAGGUCCCACAGUUAACAAUGCAUGUCAGAGCACAAACCAAGCCAUGAAGUCCAAGGAACUGUCUGUAGACCUCCGAGACAGGAUUGUAUCGAGGCACAGAUCUGAGGAAGGGCAC